rnacentral:rRNA from 1 species
CCUACGGGAGGCAGCAGUGGGGAAUUUUGGACAAUGGGGGCAACCCUGAUCCAGCCAUGCCGCGUGCGGGAAGAAGGCCUUCGGGUUGUAAACCGCUUUUAGCUGGGAAGAAAAGGCCAUCGUUAAUAGCGGUGGUUCUUGACGGUACCGGCGGAAUAAGCACCGGCUAACUACGUGCCAGCAGCCGCGGUAAUACGUAGGGUGCGAGCGUUAAUCGGAAUUACUGGGCGUAAAGCGUGCGCAGGCGGUUCGUUGUGUUUGCGGUGAAAGCCCCGGGCUCAACCUGGGAAUGGCCGUGAAAACUGGCGAGCUGGAGUGUGGCAGAGGGGGGUGGAAUUCCAGGUGUAGCAGUGAAAUGCGUAGAGAUCGGGAGGAACACCUGUGGCGAAAGCGGCACCCUGGUCCACACCUGACGCUGAGGUGCGAAAGCGUGGGUAGCAAACAGGAUUAGAUACCCUGGUAGUCCACGCCGUAAACGAUGUCAACUGGGUGUCGGUGGUUUUACACUAUCGGUGCCGAAGCAAACGCGUUAAGUUGACCGCCUGGGGACUACGGCCGCAAGGCUAAAACUCAAAGGAAUUGACGG